CAGAUUGAACGCUGGCGGCAAGCUUAACACAUGCAAGUCGAGCGGCAUCGUAAAAGUUUUACUUUUGACGGCGAGCGGCGUACGGGUGAGUAAUAUCUGGGAAUCUACCUAAUGAAGGGGGACAACUAUUGGAAACGAUAGCUAAUACCGCGUAAUGUCAUUAUUGACCAAAGUAGGGGAUUUAAUUUUUUAAUUAAACCUUAUGUCAUUAGAUGAGCCCAGACGAGAUUAGCUUGUAGGUGAGGUAAUGGCUUACCUAGGCUACGAUCUCUAGCUGGUCUGAGAGGACAAACAGCCACACUGGAACUGAGACACGGUCCAGAC
rnacentral:rRNA from 1 species